rnacentral:misc_RNA from 1 species
CUGGAAGCGCCGCAAGGUGCACCCAGAAACCCUUUGUGAACUUAUACCUAUUAUCGUUGCCUCGGCGCUGGCUGCUCCCCUUCCACGGGGGGCGCCCUCUCUUCGGAGGGGACAGCAGGCCCGCCGGCGGCCUACUUAACUCUUGUUUUUACUGAGUAUCUUCUGAGUAAAGCUUCUAAAUGAAUCA